UUCAGCAGCUGCGUCGUCCUC
rnacentral:miRNA from 1 species